CUUUUUGUCUUUUUCUAGGGCCGAACCCACGGCAUGUGAAGGUUCCCAGGACAGGGGUCGAAUCGGAGCUGUAGCCACCGGCCGACGCCACAGCCACAGCAACUCGGGAUCCAAGCUGCGUCUGCGACCUACACCACAGCUCACGGCAACGUCGGAUCCUUAACCCACUGACCGAGGCCAGGGAUCGAACCCGCAACCCCAUGGUUCCUAGUCGGAGUCUUUAAACCACUGAGCCAUGCAGGGAACUGCAGACAAUAAGUUCUUAAUACCAUCAAGUGUCCUGUGACCGACUGCUCAUCUUUUCCCAACCCUCUCAUGAUAUUUUUAGUUUCUUUAAACCAGGAUGCAAGUAAGUUUCAUACUUCACGAUUGGCUUAUACGGUUUUUUAAGUCUCCUUAGCCUGUAGGUUUCCCGUCCAUCUCAUGUUUUCCCCCCUUGCGAUAUACUUGUUGCGGAAACCGGACCUACUGUUGCUCACAAACCGGAUUUUGCCGAUUGUCUCCUCGGGGUGUCCCUUAAAAUGCUCCUCUGUUCCGGGCAGGUCCCCUCACUUGGGAGCUAGAGCUGACUUGGCAGUCAGACCUCCAGACUGGAUCACAUUCAGACCUCGUUUGGCGGCGCCCUGUAGGUGAUGUCACGUAUCAGACUCGCGGCGUCUGGACAACUUUCUCCUUGCGCUAUGGGCGGCCUUGGGUGGUCACUGCCGGGAUUCAUUCACUCCCUGGCGGUGCCCCAGUCUAGCAACCCUUCUGCUAUUAGCUGCAGUACGUCUGAAAGAGACCCUUCUUUGCAAACAAAGAAGCACCAAGAGCCUCGCUCACCGCCCGGUUCGCCGGUGAGGCCCUCCGCCGCGCCGGGAGCUCGCCCCUGGGAGGAGGCAGGAUGAGCGUCAGGACGGGGCCCUCUGUGCUUCGGAAAAACCUACACAGUUAAGUGUGUGCCUCAGGGAGAACUGCACGAACCCACAUUCUUGCAUCUGUCCACACAGAGAAAGCCACUGAAGCCACUGGCUUGGAAUACUGGUUCUUUGCGACCAGCGUAACCUCUUACCAAGAUGCGUGUCAGGCUUACAGGCGAGAUGUAAGGCUGUUUAUCCCUCCUCUCUGGAGCCGAGGCUGCCUCCUGAGCUGCAACCUAAACUCACAACUCUUAUGCUGUGCGUUGUUAAGUUAACCGUCUCAUCAACUGCUUGGUUACGCAGAGAGACACCUCACACAGGAGAGAGGAAUGCUUCACUAGGCCCAUUAAUAAACCAAAAAAGCCACAGAGGCACCGCCUGGCCCAGGCUCUGCCAUCAAGUGACAUUAUCAGUGGGCCAGACCGUGCCUGCGACUCGCUGGAAGAAAUGGGGAGCCGAGCCCCAGCACCAGGCCUCGUCCCCAGGCUGGGGGCUGCUGAGGCUGUGGUGGCCUGGACCAGGCACGGAGAGAGCCCGGGUCCCUCCCCGCCUGCUGGGCUUGGCCUCGGCACGUCUUGGUCCGCUGGAGGCCAGCGGUGCCGCAGCUCCCAGGAAGCCCAGGCGAAUCCUCGCGGCACAAAGGCAAGGCAGCUCUGUUUCUGCCAGAGCUCAGGCUCAGGCGCUGUAACGCCACGAUGCAUCACAGAUGCCCAAACGGCUUAGAGAGAGGCCCGCAGUGCUCCCUCAGUAACCGGCGGAGGGGGAAGCAGGCAGUUGGAGGCGGGUGGACGGUCCUGCUCCCUGAGCUUGUCAAAGAACCGAGGCUCCUACGUCACCACCCUCUGGGACGCCACGUCCACCUGCAGGACCCGAGGCUUGUCCGGGUUCCUGUCACAAGGAAGGGGAGAGAGAGGAAGUGCGAGACAGCCAAAGUCCCGUAAAACCCGCGCCUUGGAGCUGGGACAGCCGCUGCUCCUCGCGGUCACCUGGCUGGAACCUGGGCCCGAGAGGCGUCUGUGCACAGGAGGCGGGAGGCGGGGAGGGACGGCGGCACAAUUCCCGGGAACGGAUCCUGGCAACGACUGGCAGGCCCUGCCGCCGGGUGAAAGUGGCGACUGGCGACUGGGGACAGCCUCGCAGACCUCAAACCUUGUCGCGCGCAAGGCCUCCCUGGGCUGGGGUCUGUAGGACAAGGUCCCCGCCCCAAAGCCGGGGCCCACGGCGCCCCCCCUCCGAGAGGCUCCGCCCUGCGCAUCAGGUGCCAAAGUGCACACGCGGCCAGCGGGGCAGGCGGUCUCUAAAGUGAGAUCUGGAAACUGUACAGUUUUGCUUUUGGAAUUAUUUGGUGAGGGUAAGUCACUUAAUUUACACUUGGCUCAAUCUUAGCCAAUCCUCUUGCGUGUGCAGAAUUUCUUGUGAGGUGAAGAUUCUAACCUACGCGUUAUUUUCAAGUGUAGAAGAAUUCUGACAUGCUAUGAAAUAGCUAUGAAACUAACAAUGAGUUUAACAGGAUGGUACGGUUUAUGGUAUCUAAUUUAGGUUUUCCCCUUUUAAUUCUGAUUCUUCUUCAGGACUUGUAUUUCCACAGGCCCCCGACGAGCCCUCAGACCACGGAUCCUCCGCCCGCACCGCCUAGUGAAUGAAACGGCCACCGGCCGCCCGCAGGGAGGGGCGGUCUGCGCGGACCCACUGCCAGGGCGGGGCUUGCUCGGGGGAGGGGCUUGCUCUAGCAGGUGCUGUGGCCCCUGAGGAACGGGGCGCAGAGAGGCUGGGGCCUACAGAAGGCUGGGAGCAAUAAGAUCGGCAAGAAGAGAAACACAGCGGAUCGCUCGGAGCAGGGCUGGCAACGGUUAGGUUCUCGCGCUAGUCCGAGAAGGGGCUGGAGGGCUUAGCGAAAUGUCCCGGGUCUCAUCGAGAGCGUUAACACGGGAUUAAGCCAAGAGCUCACGGGCGCCCAGGCAGCUCCCCAAGCCGUCCAGCGUCGUGCACGCAGACCUGUCACUGCUGCCAUGGAAACCCGCCUCCCUGCGACCUACAGCCACCAGGGAGGCCUCCGCAGCCCCUCUGCUUUGCUUUUCCUCUGCGUCUUUUCUUUUGCUUUCCUUUGUAUGUUUAGAUAGCUACCACUAGACCUGGGCCUGGGCUGCAAGGGCUGCUGGCACGUGAAGCUACGGACACAUUUGGCUUCUACAGGGAGGAGAGAGCUGGGCUUCCCAAGACCCCUGAGGUGGGGGCUCCCCUCAGACGGAAGGAGAUGCACAGCCCGCCCAGUUAAAGUGAACGACAAACACGCACUGCAGCGUCCUUGACCCUCAGUGCGGAGGGCACGGGCAGAGAGGGGAGCUGGGGCUGGGGCUUCUCCCGGAAAAGGCCCUCCGAAGCCGGGGGCAUCCGAGACAGGCUUGCCCCGGCUCCGGCCCCGGCCCUGCUGCCUGCACGUGAAAGAGCGGCUGUGGCUGCACAGCCAGAGCAGGGCCCAGGCCUUCCCCGCAGGGAGGCCCCCCGUUCGAUGUGUGGCCGGAGCUUUACCAGGAGCAUCACGUUACCAUCUCCGGAGCUGUGGA
rnacentral:lncRNA from 1 species